GACGAACGCUGGCGGCGUGCUUAACACAUGCAAGUCGAACGGUAAGGCCCUUCGGGGUACACGAGUGGCGAACGGGUGAGUAACACGUGGGUGAUCUGCCCUGCACUUCGGGAUAAGCCUGGGAAGCUGGGUCUAAUACCGGAUAGGACCACUGCCUGCAUGGGUGGGGGUGGAAAGCUUUUGCGGUGUGGGAUGGGCCCGCGGCCUAUCAGCUUGUUGGUGGGGUGAUGGCCUACCAAGGCGACGACGGGUCGCCGGCCUGAGAGGGGGACCGGCCACACUGGGACUGAGAUACGGCCCAGACUCCUACGGGAGGCAGCAGUGGGGAAUAUUGCACAAUGGGCGCAAGCCUGAUGCAGCGACGCCGCGUGAGGGAUGACGGCCUUCGGGUUGUAAACCUCUUUCAGCACCGACGAAGCGCAAGUGACGGUAGGUGCAGAAGAAGGACCGGCCAACUACGUGCCAGCCGCCGCGGUAA
rnacentral:rRNA from 1 species